GAGCAUCUCAUUCUAGCAUGCAGCAGAGCGUUUUUUCACGUACUUACCGAUAACAUAGAAGUCGCAUUGAGAAGGCGGUAGUCGUCGUUUAAAUGAAGUGUUUGCCAUCUCCUUCAUCAGGACAAUAAAUGCACAGUUUGCUCAUCACCCCAAUGAUGGAGGCAGCAAGUACCAAUGAAUACCAGUAACAUUCCAGAUAACAACUCAGAAGACAGCCAACUUCAUACCUGCUGUCAUGAGAAACUGGAAUCUCAGACUGCUGUGGAUAAGAUGGUUUACUAGACGAGUCAAAAUAGCUUAAAGUGACACAUUUAGUACAACUACACUUUGCGGAAUUUUUUCUCAAAUCACCGAACUAAUUUUAGGCAGGUAUUUUAAGUCAAACAGUAUGCUUAUGGGUUAUCAGGAAUUCAGAUCAAAUAGUAGUUGAAUAUGGGACCUUGUUAGCUGGUGGAAAGUACUUUCAUGUCUCAUUUCCUAAUUUCAGUAUUUCUCUAGAAGUGAUACAGAAGGUCUGCCUCCUAACAGUCCCGUAACUGAAGAAAAAAGAUGGGUAGUCAAUCACUUACCUUCUUGGUGGAGUGGGUGAUUUUGCCUUUGACAAUGGACUUGAUAUUACCCUAGUUUUCUUCUUUCUUGUUUCAGUAACAGAUGAUUCAGUUUCUUCUUCUUCUUGAAAGAGAGGACAGAGUUCAAAUUAAUAAUCCACAUUUUUAAUUUGGAUGAAGAACUUUCCCUAAAAUUACCUCCAAAACAGACCCUCUAUCUCAUCCUCGAAAUACACAGGGAAAACAUAAAUGAUCAUUACUGUUUCACACACUAAUUUAACAAAAACUAAACAGACUACAGAAACAAAACUUUAAUUUGAGAGCCGUUUAAUGAAUUUCAAGAUAAGGCUGAAUCUGGAAAAGGAGGCGUUCAGGCCAGUCAGGUAUCAGAAAAGAAACAAAAGUGCCCAGCAGUCGCUUCUGAGAAAACACCUUGGCCCACAUCCCUACAAAAUUUAAAAAUUUACAGAACACUAUGCCAAAUGACAGAGUGCCACGUUUUGAAUUUUGCUGUGACAUGAUGAACCAUCUUGGUGCAGAUUGAACAUGUAUGUCCAAAAUGCUUUCUAAGGUUCAGUUGUCACUUUAAUGUCAUGUGAACAACUAUGAUCCCAGUGGUCAUCAAGUUACAUCACUUCUCCUGCAUGCUAAAUAUUUUUGUAGCAUGUUUUCCAACAGUGUAAUGCCAUUCAGUGUUUGUUAAAUAAAGAUUUGGAACCAUUCAAA